UGUGUGUGUGUGUGUGUGUGUGUGGACGUGUUUAUGUUCACUGUCAAGCCCAGCAUUAACUGUGCGAUUUGGAUAUUGUCAUCUCUGGCCUCUGGUUGUGUUCUUCUCCUCAUUCUGCUGAUCAUCACAAUUUUUUAUUGCAACCGUUUAAGAACAAGACGAUGUCCCCACCAUUACAAAAGACAGUACGUCUUGGGGGGGUUUUCUUGCACAGUGUCAUUAAUGCAGUACAUUUUCUGUUCCACAAUCUCAAUUUCUCAUUUUCAGACCCAGACCUGCUGGCCAUGCAAAACUGCCCAACAACCACUUCUAGCUCCAGUAUAGACACAAGAAAGUCCAGUACUGGUUAAUGAUAUCUUUGAUUCAAUUACUUCUCACUAAGCAAAUUUAAAAGCAGUUUCUUCCUUUAUGAUUAUUCAGACUGUACAGCCUUAAAUCUUAAAUCUUUUAAUCUUUCACACUGAAGACGUUCAAAACAUCACUAUUUCUUUUCCAGUGAGUAGAUGAUUUUUAAAGUCAUUAUGUCUUUGUAUCGGUUAGGGUUACAUUUAAUGCUAUGACAGUACUCAGACUGUUUUUAUUAUUAUUAUUUUAAUCUGUUCCUAGUGAAAUGUUUUGUGUUUGCUUCAAUGUAGGCUAAUUACAUGUUCAUUUAAUUAAAUGAUGAUUUAAAGUGAUGUCAAAAAUGAUCACAAAAGCAUUUUAAGCUUUAAAUUACAUCAUGUUCAGUGUCACAUUGCAUAACUGUAAUCUGUUUACAAGAUAAAUCUGCCAUCUGCUGGCUGUCAGUGAUAUGAAGAACCUCAGAUCAGUCUCAUAGAUUAUUGUGCUGAGAUACUAAACUUACAGAACGAAUUGCAUUCAUUUUGCUGUCUAUUUCUACAUUCAUUUGUAACUAAAAUUCAGUUGCAAAUAAACAAAAUAUGAAGUAAUCAUACCAUAUACCCAUAUCAGUGAUGUAAAGAAUUUCAAAUCAAGGUCUUGAAUACUUAUCACUAGCAUUUUGAUUUGUAAAUAACCCAAAGUUGGUUUGUGGCAGAACACCACCAUGUGGGCAAACAAGGUGCUCAAACAAUGCAGACUGUCUGUCACAUCAAUAAAUAUGAACAUGUACAGCCAUGUGCUUGUGUUUCAGCCGACAGGUCACUGAAUGGGAUUUGUACUGUAGUUUGAGUUUCUCUCUGCUGCAGUUCAGGAACUAAAGCUACUGCAUAAUAUCUGAAAAAUUUAAAGUCUUAUGAUCUAGUGAUACUUCUGGCUCUCUGUGACCUGAAAAUGAAUGUUCAGCGUCCACAUAGUGCUCAGCAAAAUACUGAUUCUUACUUUUGGUUUGCUUUGGGAAUCAGUUUGUCGGCCAGCUCGACCUGAUCUUGUAAAGAAAUAACGAAAUAAACACCGUACUUGUAUUAGGAUUUUAGAGUGGUAUAUUGUGAUUAAGAUUUUUUUCAUCCUUUCAGUAGUUUUGUUCCUGUUCUUGUAGAGGAACUGAGUGUCUGUGUGCUGACAUUUGAAUAAAAUGCAUCAAAUAUGCAUUAUAUUUUGUACUAGGCUAUUUUGUCCCUCAUCUAUGGGGAGUAACAUUUUCUUGUUUAUAGUAUUAUACUGCAUGUACAUUUAUGGUAAAUAUGUAAGAUAUGAAAGUGUAAAGGACAGAUCGUUUAGUCAUAUGAAUAGACCAAAUACAAUGACUCAAAAUUAGCUUAAAGGCUUACUUUAAUUUAUGUAAAAUAAUCAAAUUUAGCCUUAACAUACAUUAGCCUAAUCCCAGCAUAUAAACGCCAUGGAAAUUAUGAUACAGCACAGAAAUUAUUAUUUAUACUUGGAUUAUUGGUAUGUUUAAUUUUGAUAGCUUGAUCUCACAAUACAUAAAGAUGGACUAAUCAGUUCAAAUGGUCUGAAUUUACGUUUUAAUAAAUAUUUUAUGAACUAGGCCUGCUAUCAUUCUCUGUAAACACACACCCAAAAAAUUAUAUACCUGAGCCUCUAUAAUCAGUACACCUUUAUUUGAAUAAAGAUUUUAAGAACAAACAAAGCAAGUUGUUUUAUAUUUUAAGUAAAAAUCCCUUCUUGAAAAUACCGUCCUGUCACAAUGACUAGUACACAACAUCUUAGAAUGCUCUAGGAUCUGAAUCUGUUCAACAUUUCAUGACACUGUUGGGUUUAAAGGUCAUAUUUAGGAUUCUAUCAUCAGCUAUGAAAGCUAUUAGAAGAUUUUAAAGCAUCAAACAGUGAGCCUUGAUGAUAAGCAAAACAGCAACGUUGUGGUUGCCCUUAAACAAGUGAAUUAAAGUGAAAGAUCCUGACUUUGCCCCCCACAUAUAAUGUAACACCUGUCAAUUUACUAGCGGUUCUGAAAAUACAUUUAAAACCUUGAGCUUAAGCUAAAAAAUUCAAUAUUCAAAUUUCACCUCCAAAAUCAAGUGGAAAACAUUUUAAGAGUGCAACAUGUGUAACACAAGCGGUUCGAUUAUUUUCCAAGGCUUUUGUGAUAAAUGGGCACAUGGGGCGUUUAGUGUUAGCAAUAUUAUUUUACAGUUAUUUUCGAAAGCAUCCUUGUAAGUGCACUUCAGGAAACAAACUACAAAGAAAAACACCUCCCAUAUAAACCUUUUUUUACUAGUAUCAUUAUACAGACAUUCAACAGCAUUCAAAAAGACAUCAUCACGGUCAUCGACGGCAACGAUGUAAACGAUGAAUUCAUAACCUACGGCAUCUCUGUACACUAGUGUCUCAAUAGAUCCUCAAACAGCAACAGACUGUCAUCUCUGUGAACAGGAAAACUGUAGAGAGACCCCCAGUAAAGAGGGG